CGUCUCAUUUCUUCUCCUCUGUUUUCCUAUCGCUCCAGCCUCCAGGCGCCUUGGCCGGAGCUCCGACGAUCUUCCAGCAGCGAUGGCCGAGACCGGAGAAGACGACGGCGAAGUAGCCGCUCCUCUUCCUCCCCCUCCCCCUCAUACUCUGGCGAAGCCACGCACUACUUCGACGAUGAGGCGGCGGAGCAGAGCACCAGCACAGGGUCGGCGACGAGCCGUCCUCACGGAUGGAGAACCUUCCUCGCCUGGGGUAGCUGCCCUGAAUCACAGCAGGGCAAAAAAAAGUACUCUUUACUUGAGCAUUUCACUGUUACCCCGAGGAUCCAAGCAGUGCGUCAAAAUUAGUCCUUGAUGUGAUUCCUGUGGUGUUCUCCACGGAUCUGAACCUCUGGGGCAAAAAAAAAAAAAGGGUGUUUUAUGGGUUUUGUUGCCUGGGACGGGCAGGGAGCUUGGAUAAAAAUUCAACCCGACUAAAAAUUCAGGCCCUUCCUUGACCCUUGUCGUGGGAGUUUCAGCCUGCUGUGAUGUCACUGCUUCCUCUUAAAGAGGCUGUGAGGAGGACAAGCAUUGUUUGGAGAGAAGUUGGAAAAUGCUCUGGACAUUCCGUUGUAAUCUGUGUUUUUAUGGCCCCAGUGAUCUGGAUUUAGACACUGAUGAACGACACAUCUUUGGUUUUCUGAAAAUAAAACGAGCUAAGUUCACUGAGGCUGUAAAUUGGAUUACUAAGUGGCAUAGUGGGAUAGGGGUCGAUAACUUCUGCAUCGGGUGUGGCUUGCACAAAGAGGACUUUCGAUCAUCUUGACAGGUGGAUUUUACUUUGCCGCUUCAUGGAAAGCGAGGAUCAUAGCUUUUGACCUGGAGAAAACUUAUUCGCCAUCCGAAGAAGUUCACCACUUUCCUCUUGAGGCCUUGGGUGUACAAGGCAGCUCUUGUGUGCAUUCUUUGUUUCUCGCUGCUGUUUCUAUAAAGCCAUACCCAGGUAUAUAUACAUGUGGGUUUACAGUACCCAGCAGGACUAAUUUAAGUAUAUCACACCAACUUGACAAACUUCAACAUUUACUAAUUCAUGGAAUGAAUGUCAAGAUGGUUGAGUUGAGUUUCAUGCUGCUCUUGCCCAUUUUGUGUACGAAGGACAAUGGAUCCCUAUAGUACUUCAUGGUUGCUCGAAAUUAGAUAAGGCUACAAUAAUAUUGUUUAAAGGCAGCAAAGGACUGGCCCAUGUAUUCGCUUUAGUUCCAAGUAUUUUUCCAGUGAAGAUACUACAUGUGCAAGCUUAUAUACAUGGAUAUGAACAGGUUAACUGGUGUUUAUUAAUUUAUUCAUUCAUUCUUGUUUGCGUACAUUAUAGUUCUUGAAAUUGGAUUUUGAUGUCAUGUUAUUUUUCCUUGUUAUGUUUCAGUUGCAGUAGCUGACAACAAGACGACAUGGCAUGUUUAUGCAUCUGAGGCAUCUGACUUGUCCACUUAACUGUCUUCUCUAGGCAGCCAAAUGCCAAUAACGGAGUUCUUCAUGAAAUGCAGAUGGUAUAUCUGAACUUUGACGACGGUGGGAGCGUACUGUAUCUUGCAGAAUGCUCGUGUUCUCGAGCACAUGGAAACACAGCCAAGGGUCGCGGCCGGUAUGUUCCCCAUUUCAGGAUCAUGGCGCAGGCAUUGUUGAGAGGCACCUGUUGGUGUCCACUUCGUAUGUCUCUGCAGGAGGCCACCUCUUGCGGACGACGUCGGCACGAAGUACACCAUGCUUGACCCUAGGUUCGACAAGCGUCACCGUGUCCGUUUCAUUGAGAAUGGAGUGAUGCUGCCACCACUGCGGAUGAGGGCUCACAAGACGACGGUUAAGAUGGAGUACAACGAGCAGUACGCACCGUUCUUCAGGAGAGCCCGACUAUUCGGUUUCGUCCUGCAGUUCAAGCGUAAGCCGCCGACGCUUGUCCACUCAGCUCUCAUGGCUUUGAUCGACCGGUGGUGGCCAGAGACGCACAUCUUUCAUCUUCCAUGUGGGGAGAUGACCGUGAACCUCGAGGAUUGGGCGAUGAUUACGGCACUACCGCUCCAGGGUCGUGCUCUCACAGGAAGAGUGGAGAAGGUGAACUGG